rnacentral:rRNA from 1 species
UCGCUACUACCGAUUGGAUGUGUUAGUGAGGUUUUCCGACCGAGACAAUGGCGGUCUUCUCGAUUGCCGUUUGUUUUGGAAAGAUCAUCGAACUAACAUAUCUAGAGGAAGUAA